AUUGAACGCUGGCGGCAGGCCUAACACAUGCAAGUCGAACGAGUGGCGGAGGGGUGAGUAAUGUAUGGGAAAGUGCCUGAUGGAGGGGGAUGAGGGGUGGAAAAGGUAGAAACAGGUGCUUACGAUGCGUUGUGCUCAGGUGGGAUUAGCUAGUAGGUGGGGUAAAGGCUCACCAAGGCGACGAUCCCUAGCUGGUCUGAGAGGGUGACCGGCCACACUGGGACUGAGACACGGUCCAGACUCCUACGGGAGGCAGCAGUGGGGAAUAUUCCACAAUGGGCGCAAGCCUGAUGCAGCCACGCCGCGUGUAUGAAGAAGGCUUUCGGGUUGUAAAGUACUGUUGUCGGGGAGGCGGUACCCACACAGGAAGCACCGGCUAACUCCGUGCCAGCAGCCGCGGUAAUUC
rnacentral:rRNA from 1 species